GUGCCGAUUUUACCCCACCUUUCAACCUUAAUUACUAAAUUUUCCAUGAUGUUGGAUGAUGCCACGUGUUCCAUCAUCUAUCUGCCUUAUUUGAUCGUCUUUGUUUCCCCUUUCUCUUUCCUCGACUAUGGGAUCUUUUUCCCCUUCCAUUUUCAACAAACCCUAGCUCUCAUCUUUGCAAUCUCCUCCUCCCCCUUCACCUCUCUCCUUCCAUCAUCCUAGAUUUCCAGAUCGUCAAUCUCCGUUCUUCUUCAAGAGGAUGUUAGUUUAUGGUGAUCGAAGGCCCACAUUCGAGGAUUUUGAGAAGGAGUCCAACUAUGGAACCAUUGAUACAUUUGAAGCUAUUCGUUCUCAUAUGACGAAUCUGUUGCUUCGUAAUUCGCCUCUUCAAUAACCGGCACCCAGGUUCACUCCUUCUGAAUCUCCUCACUAUCAGUUCGUCUCUUUCUCCCUGGUGGUAAUUAUGAAAAUUGUAAGCUAUCCCAACAUAGUCAAUCUUAUCGAGGUGAUUAAUGAUCCAGACACAGAUCACUUCUAUAUGGAAUAUAGUGCAUAUGGACAUAAAGACUCAAAAUCUUUUGGUUUCGCGUAAUGGCACUGUAAAGAUUGCAAAUUUCAGUGUCAGCAAAGUUUUUGAGGUAAUGGAAUAGUAUCUCAUUAUAUUAAAUAUCAAUUUAUUUCUAUUCUUGAUAACUUUGUGCAUGUGAUCUUUUCCAUUCAUUAUUUGGUUGAGGAUACAAUGAUUUCAUUUGAUUCUGUUGCAAAUGCAAAUAUAUCAUAACAUUUCUAGAGACAACAUGUUAGUACCUACAUGCGGAGGUCAGAAGAUAUGGGAAGUGAAACUAUAGUCAAUCUUUUUGUUGACAGUUGUAACUGGGAAGAUAAUUCUCAUAACUUCUAUGAAUGUUAUUUUUGUUUUUAAGUGACCAUAUACUGAUAUUACACGUUCUUUGUGCGCC